rnacentral:rRNA from 1 species
GACGAACGCUGGCGGCGUGCUUAACACAUGCAAGUCGAACGCUGAAGCUCAGCUUUUGUUGGGUGGAUGAGUGGCGAACGGGUGAGUAACACGUGAGUAACCUGCCUCCUUCUUUGGGAUAACGCCCGGAAACGGGUGCUAAUACUGGAUAUUCACUGGUCUUCGCAUGGGGGUUGGUGGAAAGGGUUUUUCUGGUGGGGGAUGGGCUCGCGGCCUAUCAGCUUGUUGGUGGGGUGAUGGCCUACCAAGGCUUUGACGGGUAGCCGGCCUGAGAGGGUGACCGGUAACAUUGGGACUGAGAUACGGCCCAGACUCCUACGGGAGGCAGCAGUGGGGAAUAUUGCACAAUGGGCGCAAGCCUGAUGCAGCGACGCAGCGUGAGGGAUGGAGGCCUUCGGGUUGUGAACCUCUUUCGCUCAUGGUCAAGCCGCAACAAUGGUUGUAGUGAGGGUAGUGGGUAAAGAAGCGCCGGCUAACUACGUG